rnacentral:rRNA from 1 species
CCUACGGGAGGCAGCAGUAGGGAAUCUUUCACAAUGGGCGAAAGCCUGAUGGAGCAACGCCGCGUGCAGGAUGAAGGCCUUCGGGUUGUAAACUGCUUUUAUAAGCGAGAAAUAUGAUGGUAACUUAUGAAUAAGGAUCGGCUAACUACGUGCCAGCAGCCGCGGUCAUACGUAGGAUCCGAGCAUUAUCCGGAGUGACUGGGUGUAAAGAGUUGCGUAGGUGGCAUAAUAAGUAGCUAGUGAAAUCUGGUGGCUCAACCAUUCAGACUAUUAGCUAUACUGUUAAGCUCGAGACCGUUAGGGGUAACUGGAAUUUCAAGUGUAGGAGUGAAAUCCGUAGAUAUGAGAAGGAACACCAAUAGCGUAGGCAGGUUGCUGGGACGGUUCUGACACUAAGGCACGAAAGCGUAGGGAGCAAACGGGAUUAGAUACCCGAGUAGUC